AUUUUUUGUAUUUCCAGAUCAGGAAAUUGGGGCAAACAAAUAAUUUGCCCAAGAUUAUGCAGCUAAUAAAUUUCUGCAAUCAAAACGUUGAAGGGUGGGUUCAUCAAGGACAGAUGUUUGCUACUUCUGCCCCUACCUCGUUCUACCAAGCUUGGCGUUGCUAAGUUCACUGGGACCUUCCCAGGCAUCAGCUGAGCGGGGCCAACUGAGCGCUAAGCCUACACUGGAGAAAACGACUAGGCUCUCAGGAGCGUGGAGAAGGGCAUUUACUACAGCCCAGGGGCUGGCCUGGGCUGACUGAUGUCAGAACUAUCCCACGGUGGCCGUUUUGUGGUGUUUGGACAAAGCGAGUGCUGGCAGUGGGUCCAAACGCCCCGCCUCCUAAACUGUAGCUUUGGAGCCAAGCGCUGCUGGAUUUCGAUCAACUUGCAGCUGCUGGGGCAAGAUUAUAAACCGCUAGAGGAGAAGGGCCGAGGCACUUCGGUUGGGACAUCCUCGGCAUUCAACUCCAAGUCUGGCGCAGAAUAAGCUCUUAUUAAAUGCUCAGGAAUGGAACAAAUAAAAAUGAGUGAAUAAAUUGAAAUGGGAAAGCUGGGAGUGGGCUGCGGAGAAAACGCAUUUUGCC
rnacentral:lncRNA from 1 species